rnacentral:lncRNA from 1 species
AGAUGAAGUUUUUAUAGGCGUUUGCCCCUUGAAAGAUCUAAAAUAAGCGAUUAUCCUCUUAAAAUAUCAAUUGGAGCACUUUGCCCAUGGAAUUAAACCAAAUUGUAGUAAAAUAACCCUUUGAUAAUGUGGUAUCAUAAUUGAGUGGCACGCUGUGGCUCCGGUAACCACCUUAUCAAUCUAAUAGGAGCACAUUGCAACAACUGAAUUCAUUUAUGGGGAGUUUACUCCUAUUGAUAUUUAAGCUACAAAUUACUCCUUUCAUAAUCUUUCAAGGAGCUAAAUGCCAAAAGGCAAAAACUACCCUUUUUUUUCCUACAAAAGUCCAAACCCUAUCAACCUAAAAAGAAAAAAGGAGAACUAGGGUUACCAAUUACCGCAUUCCAAGGCGAAGUAGGUGGGAAUGAUUGAGAGUGAAAGAGGAAAGAGGUUGUUGAGCGAUGAAGUAUGGCCAAGAGUGAGAUGGCAGAAGAUCAUCAGAUUUUGGCAAGGUGAGAGCACUAAUGGCCUUUGUAGGACAGAGCAAUAGAAGUAAUGAAGGUCUAAAAAAGUACGUACAGAACCUCUAGCAGGGGAUGCCUUUCAUAAAUAAGUCCAAGAGAUGAAGGUAGAGAUCUCCUAUACAUAGGGGUGAGACCACGGAGGUUAGCACGCCAGGUCAUGCAUCUGGAUGAAGAAAGAGAGACACUUUUGCAUCUAGAUGAAGAAAGAGAGACACUUUCCUUGGCAAAAUAACUUGUAGGAAAAACAUACUAUUGAAUGUAGCACCAAUAUCCUCACAGGGCAACAGCACAACAGCCACAACGGACAACCAUGAUCAAGUGUUCUCCUCAAGUCAUCCUAAGGUAUAGGGAGGUAAAGAGCACACCACAAGUCUUUGUCAUAGUUUAGAACUAUCUACUUCGGAAAUACAAUCUAGAACCAAACAAGGUAUAAGUAUCUUGAGGGAGAAUGCAAGAUCCACCUUGACGAACUUACAACUCUACUUGCCAAGCCACAACAAUCAUUGUGCUUGAAAAAUCAUUGGUAUGCUCGAGCGACACUCUAGGGAUUAAUGCUAGAAGUCAUGUGGUACACAAGUGAUCAAUCCAAGAGUGGCCAAGUGCAGACAUCACUAUUAGAGAUGGGCACACU